UACGUAGGGAGCGAGCGUUGUCCGGAAUUACUGGGCGUAAAGGGUGCGUAGGCGGCAAUGCAAGUCAGAUGUGAAAUCCCCGGGCUUAACUCGGGGGGUGCAUUUGAAACUGCAUUGCUUGAGUGCAGGAGAGGAAAGCGGAAUUCCUAGUGUAGCGGUGAAAUGCGUAGAUAUUAGGAAGAACACCAGUGGCGAAGGCGGCUUUCUGGACUGUAACUGACGCUGAGGCACGAAAGCGUGGGGAGCAAACAGG
rnacentral:rRNA from 1 species